UCAGACUUAACACAUGCAAGUCGAGCGAGGACUUUGGUCCUAGUGGCGGACGGGUGAGUAACGCGUGGGAACGUGCCCUUUGCUACGGAAUAGCCCUGGGAAACUGGGAGUAAUCCCGUAUGUGCCCUUUGGGGGAAAGAUUUAUCGGCAAAGGAUCGGCCCGCGUUGGAUUAGGUAGUUGGUGGGGUAAUGGCCUACCAAGCCGACGAUCCAUAGCUGGUUUGAGAGGAUGAUCAGCCACACUGGGACUGAGACACGGCCCAGACUCCUACGGGAGGCAGCAGUGGGGAAUCUUAGAGAGUGGGCGCAAGCCUGAUCUAGCCAUGCCGCGUAUGAAUGGGGGCCUUAGGGUUGUAAAGCUCUUCAGGGGGGAAGAUAAUGA
rnacentral:rRNA from 1 species